rnacentral:rRNA from 1 species
UAGGGAAUAUUGGACAAUGGGCGAAAGCCUGAUCCAGCAAUGCCGCGUGAGUGAUGAAGGCCUUAGGGUUGUAAAGCUCUUUUACCCGGGAUGAUAAUGACAGUACCGGGAGAAUAAGCCCCGGCUAACUCCGUGCCAGCAGCCGCGGUAAUACGAAGGGGGCUAGCGUUGUUCGGAAUUACUGGGCGUAAAGGGCGUGUAGGCGGCCCGCUAAGUCAGGUGUGAAAGGCCUGGGCUCAACCCAGGAAAUGCGCCUGAGACUGACGGGCUUGAAUCCGGGAGAGGAUGGUGGAACUCCCAGUGUAGAGGUGAAAUUCGUAGAUAUUGGGAAGAACACCCGUGGCGAAGGCGGCCAUCUGGACCGGUAUUGACGCUAAGGCGCGACAGCGUGGGGAGCAAA